rnacentral:rRNA from 1 species
UACGUAGGGGGCGAGCGUUGUCCGGAUUUAUUGGGCGUAAAGAGCUCGUAGGCGGUUUGGUAAGUCGGGUGUGAAAUCUCCACGCUCAACGUGGAGGGGCCACUCGAUACUGCCAUGACUCGAGUCCGGUAGAGGAGUGUGGAAUUCCCGGUGUAGCGGUGAAAUGCGCAGAUAUCAGGAGGAACACCAAUGGCGAAGGCAGCUCGCUGGGACGGUACUGACGCUGAGACGCGAAAGCGUGGGGAGCAAACAGG